GACGAACGCUGGCGGCGUGCUUAACACAUGCAAGUCGAGCGGUAAGGCCCUUUCGGGGGUACACGAGCGGCGAACGGGUGAGUAACACGUGGGUGACCUGCCCUCAGCUCUGGGAUAAGCCUGGGAAACUGGGUCUAAUACCGGAUAUGACCCCAUGACGCAUGUCGUGGGGUGGAAAGCCUUGUGCGGCUGAGGAUGGGCCCGCGGCCUAUCAGCUUGUUGGUGGGGUGAUGGCCUACCAAGGCGACGACGGGUAGCCGGCCUGAGAGGGCGACCGGCCACACUGGGACUGAGACACGGCCCAGACUCCUACGGGAGGCAGCAGUGGGGAAUCUUGCGCAAUGGGCGAAAGCCUGACGCAGCGAUGCCGCGUGAGGGAUGACGGCCU
rnacentral:rRNA from 1 species